rnacentral:rRNA from 1 species
GAUGAACGCUGGCGGCGUGCUUAACACAUGCAAGUCGAACGAAGCAUUUGCGACAGAUUUUUUCGGAAUGAAGUUGCUUAUGACUGAGUGGCGGACGGGUGAGUAACGCGUGGGUAACCUGCCUUGUACUGGGGGAUAGCAUCUGGAAACGGCUGGUAAUACCGCAUAAGCGCACAAUGUUGCAUGACAUGGUGUGAAAAACUCCGGUGGUAUAAGAUGGACCCGCGUCUGAUUAGCUAGUUGGUGAGAUAACAGCCCACCAAGGCGACGAUCAGUAGCCGACCUGAGAGGGUGACCGGCCACAUUGGGACUGAGACACGGCCCAGACUCCUACGGGAGGCAGCAGUGGGGAAUAUUGCACAAUGGAGGAAACUCUGAUGCAGCGACGCCGCGUGAGUGAAGAAGUAAUUCGUUAUGUAAAGCUCUAUCAGCAGGGAAGAUAGUGACGGUACCUGACUAAGAAGCUCCGGCUAAAUACGUG